CAUGGUUGUCGUCAGCUCGUGUCGUGAGAUGUUGGGUUAAGUCCCGCAACGAGCGCAACCCUCGUUCCAUGUUGCCAGCACGUAAUGGUGGGGACUCAUGGGAGACUGCCGGGGUCAACUCGGAGGAAGGUGGGGACGACGUCAAAUCAUCAUGCCCCUUAUGUCUUGGGCUUCACGCAUGCUACAAUGGCCGGUACAAUGGGUUGCGAUACUGUGAGGUGGAGCUAAUCCCAAAAAGCCGGUCUCAGUUCGGAUUGGGGUCUGCAACUCGACCCCAUGAAGUCGGAGUCGCUAGUAAUCGCAGAUCAGCAACGCUGCGGUGAAUACGUUCCCGGGCCUUGUACACACCGCCCGUCAAGUCACGAAAGUCGGUAACACCCGAAGCCGGUGGCCUAACCCUUGUGGGGGGAGCUGUCGAAGGUGGGACCAGCGAUUGGGACUAAGUCGUAACAAGGUAGCCGUACCGGAAGGUGCGGCUGGAUCACCUCCUUUCUAAGGAG
rnacentral:rRNA from 1 species